AUACGGAGGGUGCAAGCGUUGUCCGGAAUUAUUGGGUGUAAAGGGUGUGCAGGCGGGGCGGUAAGUCAGGGGUGAAAGUCUACGGCUCAACCGUAGGAUGGCCUUUGAUACUGUCGUCCUUGAGUCCCGGAGAGGCCAUUAGAAUUCGUGGUGUAGCGGUGAAAUGCGUAGAUAUCACGAGGAAUACCGGAAGCGUAGGCGGAUGGCUGGACGGCGACUGACGCUCAGGCACGAAAGCGUGGGGAGCGAACAGGAUUAGAUACCCUGGUAGUCCACGCUGUAAACGAUGGAUGCUCGGUGUUCGACUCCGUUAGCGGGUUGAGUGCCCAAGCUAACGCGAUAAGCAUCCCACCUGGGGAGUACGCUUGCAAGAGUGAA
rnacentral:rRNA from 1 species